rnacentral:rRNA from 1 species
UACGUAGGGGGCGAGCGUUGUCCGGAUUUAUUGGGCGUAAAGAGCGUGUAGGCGGCCAGGUAGGUCUGCUGUGAAAACUCGAGGCUCAACCUCGAGACGUCGGCGGAAACCAUCUGGCUAGAGUCCGGAAGAGGAGAGUGGAAUUCCUGGUGUAGCGGUGAAAUGCGUAGAUAUCAGGAGGAACACCGAUGGCGAAGGCAGGUCUCUGGGCUGACACUGACGCUCAUGCACGAAAGCGUGGGGAGCAAACAGG